rnacentral:rRNA from 1 species
GACGAACGCUGGCGGCGUGCUUAACACAUGCAAGUCGAACGGACGAGUGAGAUAAGUUUACUUAACUCACAAGUUAGUGGCGGACGGGUGAGUAACACGUGGAUAAUCUACCUGCAACACCGGGAUAACGCUGUGAAAACGGUGCUAAUACCGGAUACGUUCCCUUGUGCGCAUGUAUGAGGGAAGAAAGCUCAGGCGGUUGCAGAUGAGUCCGCGGCUGAUUAGCUAGUUGGUGAGGUAAAGGCUCACCAAGGCGAUGAUCAGUAGCCGGCCUGAGAGGGUGAACGGCCACACUGGGACUGAGACACGGCCCAGACUCCUACGGGAGGCAGCAGUGGGGAAUCUUCCGCAAUGGGCGCAAGCCUGACGGAGCAACGCCGCGUGGGUGAAGAAGGCCUUCGGGUUGUAAAGCCUGUCUUAUGGGAAGAAGUCAGUGACGGUACCAUAGGAGGAAGCCACGGCUAACUACGUGCCAGCAGCCGCGGUAAAAGUACUCU